UACGUAGGGAGCAAGCGUUGUCCGGAAUCAUUGGGCGUAAAGCGCGCGUAGGCGGCCCCGUAAGUCCGCUGUGAAAGUCAAAGGCUCAACCUUUGAAAGCCGGUGGAUACUGUGGGGCUAGAGUCCGGAAGAGGCGAGUGGAAUUCCUGGUGUAGCGGUGGAAUGCGCAGAUAUCAGGAGGAACACCAAUAGCGAAGGCAGCUCGCUGGGACGGUACUGACACUAAGGCGCGAAAGCGUGGGGAGCGAACAGG
rnacentral:rRNA from 1 species